CUACAUUUUAAGAGGUAGACAACUCUCCAAGUGUGUUUCUUCCACCAAACCCCAAACACUGUAAUGAAAACAGUCCUUAUUAAAAUAAAGCACUUGAAGUAUGUUGUCAGAACGUAUAUGAAUCAAAGGGUAAGUCUUCAUGGAAGAACUUGGAACAUAAAUUCCCCUCAGCUGAAGUGGAGUAGGAAUGUAUACAAAAGAAAAUUACAAAUGGAGAUAAGUCUAAAAUAAGUGCCACAUAUGGAUGGUUUUGUUCAUAUCGUGGCUGCUGAACAGCCAUGAGGAUGUUGUGCACUUUGCCAGCUCCUGGAGCGCUGUGAUCUGUCCUAAGACCUGGCCACACCAAAUAAAUGAAGCAUUGGUUGGAUACUUUUAGAUUUCAAGUUGUACUUACUAAACCUUGCAGACUUUUCUACGUGGUAGAACCUAUGCCUAAAUAAAUUUGACCUCUAUCAUGACUCCAAGUUGAAAAAUAAACAUCAUAUGAUAUCAUUUGAAAAGAACCUGCUUUAGCAAGUAGGUUGGACUUGAUGAUCUCUAGAAGUCCCUUCCAACACCUUCAACUCUAUGUUUCACAGCAUGAAAAUAUCCAUAAAUGCAGUUAACAAGUUCACAUAAGUCAUAACUUGGACUAAACUUCAUAAAAUCAAGAUCUAAAGUUGGGAGAUCUGUGAAUUUUUGAAGGUGUCCGGUUUUUUCCUCUGGAUCUUCCUUCUCCAUGCUGAAGUUGGAAGGAGGUGCACCUAUCAAUAGGAUGGAUCCUUUAUUGUGUAAAAUGCUCUCUUUGUUGGAUUCUGCACAACAGGUGGUUUCCAGGCAGAGCAGAGAGCCUACAGGAGGAUGGACGCAACACCUGUCCCCCAGGGUCCCACUCUAUGACCCCCAUAAAUGCCUCACCGAGCAGGACACCUGAGAGUUGCACGGACAGCUGCCCUGCAGUGAUAAAAAUGCCAUGUGGGGAUGGUGACAAUGACAAAAGUUGUCGUGUGCUGGGAUGUUGCUACCAACAGAAAGACUACAGUCCCGCUGCAGGAAGAGGAUGGGCCCAGAGCAGUCUGUGGAGGUAGUGGGAAGUCUCAUUAAAAGGCAAGGGCUGGGGAUGAGGCGCGUGGGAUCGGGCACACAGCAUAUAAGGACGACAGAUGGCAUGAAAUCCACCUCUUCAUUCCUUCUUCCUCAAGGAUGUCAUACUGAUGGGAAAUGUGCCAAAAUUUUGCAGUCUCAAAGCUUGAGUAAAGAGUUAUUACGUUUCCAUGAUUCAGAAAGCAAGUAUUUUCAUGAAAUAAGGAUGAGCCUGUUUCAAUCAGAUUGGCUCCUCCAGCUGCAGAAGAACCCCCAUAUUCAUGGUGAAAGGUAAUUUUGAACCAGGGAGAGAUUGUAAUAAACUCAGACAGUGUCAUUUCUCUGCUCCUUCUAUGGAUGCAGCAAAAAGACUGAUGAUGUGUUGUCACCACUUGUUGAUUUCUUAUUUCACACCAACACAAGGUAGAGCAUCUCAUGGGGAAGGCACAGUCUCAUCAUCAGGGUUCCAAUCUCUUGCAUCACGUUGAGGUCAGCCUCUUGUUUUGCCUUCAUCUUUAUAAAUUGUUCUCAUCUUUCUCUGUUCAUCAGAUCUGUGCUUGCUUUCACUGAGGUCCCACCUGGCCUCUCAUUCUCCUGUGGCAGGUUCAGACCUUGGGAUCGCACCAAGUAGAGCCUGAAGCUCUGCACAAGUUGCGAGUGCUGUAGAUGGCACUCUUUGAUCCCACUCAGUCAAAAUUUCCCACCAAUCACUGCAGGGCAGUUGGAGGUGCUGCCGUUCAGCUGAGACAUAAAACAGAGGUUCAGGCAAAUUGCCAUCAUUAAAAAUGCCACGGCACUUCUGCAGCAACAGUAGGAGUACUAGCUCCAGUGAUCAAGCCAACGUUUAAUCUGAGUAAUUUACAUGCUAGUUACCCAGAAUUCUCCCGAUGAUUUCAAGCAGAUAAGGCAAUUUAAGAGUUUUUUGUUUUGUUUUGUUUUGUUUUCCUUUUCUCUGCCACACUCUAUAGUGAUGCUGUGUUGUUACACAGUUGUUGCAUUUAACCUCGAGGUGGCUGUACAGCAGCUGUUGACAAAGUGAUUCUACAUUUACAACAUGUGUAAGUGUGUUGGUGAAGUUUGUAAAGCAUGUUGAGCACUUUCUGGAAUAAAAACAAGACGUG
ensembl:lncRNA